rnacentral:rRNA from 1 species
AUUGAACGCUGGCGGCAGGCCUAACACAUGCAAGUCGAGCGGAUGAAGGGAGCUUGCUCCCUGAUUCAGCGGCGGACGGGGGAGUAAUGCCUAGGAAUCUGCCUGGUAGUGGGGGACAACGUUUCGAAAGGAACGCUAAUACCGCAUACGUCCUACGGGAGAAAGCAGGGGACCUUCGGGCUUUGCGCUAUCAGAUGAGCCUAGGUCGGAUUAGCUAGUUGGUGAGGUAAUGGCUCACCAAGGCGACGAUCCGUAACUGGUCUGAGAGGAUGAUCCGGCACACUGAAACGGAGACACGCUCCAGACUCCUACGGGAGGCAUCAGUGGGGAAUAUUGGACAAUGGGCGAGAGCCUGGUCCAGCCAUGCCGCGUGUGUGAAGAAGGGCUUCGGAUUGUAAAGCACUUUAAGUUGGGAGGAAGGGUCGCUGAUUAAUACUCUGCAAUUUUGACGUUACCGACGGAAUAAGCACCGGCUAACUCUGUGCCAGCCGCCGCCGUAA